GGCCGGUAAAUCCUUUCCCAACCUCCACGUGGUACCGGCUGGAAUAUGCGAAAUCAUCGCGUAUACCGAUAGGGAAGG
rnacentral:ribozyme from 1 species